UGGGAGUUUGUCGUUCGUCGGAGAGCACCGGCACCUUUGCAAGCCCCAAAAGAGGCAGGUCUCAUCAGAAGACCUCAGCAGACAGCCCACAAGCCCAUGUAUGGCGCGUUUUCCUGGAGAUGGACUUGGAUUCUGUACUUAGUUGCUUCUAACCCGACCUGUCCUUCUGACUGCGAGCAGACUGUAAUGGAUGCCCAGCUGGUCUAGAAAUGACAUCCAUGGCUUGCUCUGCGUGGCAGUGAAGUGCAGCCCCCAGAACUGCCUCCCAGUCUCUGUUGGUCCUGCCUGGCAGUGGAAGCCCAUCAAAUGGCCUGCAGCUAAGAGUGACAUGGAGCGCCCUGCUUCCAGCGGGGAGAGCAAGGCUGCUGCUGAAGGGACAAGCUGUGAGGAUGAUGGCAGAGCCAAGGAGCAGAAAGGAAGGAUUUCCCAAAUGCUGGCGUGCUUGUCACGUGCCACUCCCAGGAAGGAGGCAGGAUCAUCAUUCGUUGAAACCUCCCUCUUCAGUCUACCACAUUUUCCAGGAUCAUGCCACUUCUUCAUUACUUGCAGCCUCAAAGGAAC